GGGGGCGAUCUGGUAUCGACCGGGUGUCGGAAGUGUUCGGUGGCGUGUCGUGGUUGAUCAGCUGGCCACGUAAAAAGCCGAUCAAAAUUUAACUGCUGAACCGCAGUACUCCCUCGCGGCUUAAGUGCCGAGAGCCGUUCUGGCAGCUUCGCCUGAGAGGUGCUAGUCCGGACGCAAGUCAGGCUCGCGGGAACUCGAGGAGAGGGGACAACCACCCGAUCCGCCUCGGCGGCCGUUCCUGCUAAAAAAAUCUGGCCGAUAGUUGUGUCGGGGUCCCGCUCGUAGGAACCCGGUAACAACGAACGUGCGGCGGCCCGUUAAACGGUGCGCCGCAGGAAUAUACGAGCUACACACGUAGAUGCCGGCGCGGAAGCGCCUCGGGACCGGGGUUCGAUUCCCCGCGCCUCCACUC
rnacentral:tmRNA from 21 species